rnacentral:misc_RNA from 1 species
CCCUGCAUCAGAAUUUCUGUACUCAACAGCUUGUUGCUGAUGGUGAUCAACUGAAGUUGAAGAAGAUGAUGUGGCCACUCUUGCAGGUAAAGUAAAGCUCCUUUUGAAUUUGUUUUCUAUUUUUCUUGCACUAUCUGGAUGGCUAUCCAAGCUCAAGAACUCAUUGGGAUUUGUACUGCCUGCACUAUGCAUAUUUGAACCAUCUGGAUUGGGAUUCGGAUUCUUUCCUUCAAGGAUGAGAGGGUGGUGAUUUUGGUCUGCUUUGUUCCCCAAGCUCUCAGGGUUGAACAAAAACUUGGCAUCAUCGGUGCGUCCAGUUAAAGCAUUGAAGAAAGACAGCCCAUUAGGCCAUUUAAUGUCAUUUUCGUGCUCUCCCAUCAUUUCUUCCAUUCGGGUUUCUGCUGA